AUACGGAGGAUGCAAGCGUUAUCCGGAUUUAUUGGGUUUAAAGGGUGCGUAGGCGGAAUAAUAAGUCAGUUGUGAAAGCCUGUAGCUUAACUAUAGAAUUGCCAUUGAUACUGUUAUUCUUGAGUACAGUUGAGGUAGGCGGAAUGUGUAAUGUAGCGGUGAAAUGCUUAGAUAUUACACAGAACACCGAUUGCGAAGGCAGCUUACUAAGCUGGUACUGACGCUGAGGCACGAAAGCGUGGGGAGC
rnacentral:rRNA from 1 species